GGCUGUGUAGCUCAGUGGUAGAGCACUAGUCUCAUGAGCUAGGGGUCCCGGGUUCAAUCCCCGGUGCAGCCA
rnacentral:tRNA from 1 species